rnacentral:lncRNA from 1 species
AGCUAUGUCCCUCAAACCUCUUCUGGGAACGUAAAGACCAUUAACAGCUCUUUUGCUUGAAUACUCGUCCAUAGAUCACAUACAACCUCUUAGUUCUGUCAAAACCAAAUAGCCCUUGGAAUCACGGCGUUACAGACUUAAUUUUAGCAAAUUAGGACAGGACUACCAUAAAAAGAUUUAAUUAAAUGUCAUAGCAAUCAUCAAGAAUAUUGCAAUAGAGAAGAAAAAAACCUCAUUCAUCACUCUAACACUAACUUUCAAGGUGAUGAAUAUAAAGAAAACGUCAAGCAAAAAUAUUCAUAAUGAUAAGACGGCAAGAACUUUCUCUAACCCCUAUCAUCAACUCCGUUUUAUUCUUCGGGAAACUGAGAAUCUUUUGACAAAAACCCCAAAAUUAAUACUACUAGGAAAGACGAGCAGUAUCCGAAAUGUCAACUUGUAAUCACAUCAUUUGCAAGUUAAUCAACAAUCAACUAUCAUAAUUUACUACAUUUUCUGCAACGCUUCUCCUUUAAUCGGACUUUGGAUGCUACAAAACUCACAUAGAUGGCAAGUAAACCUCAAUAUUAGUAAAAUUGCUCACAUGACUCUGAAUAUCACAGAUACAGAUCCAUAAAUAUUUGCCUAAAUUUAAUCAGAUGAUUUGCUAAUAAACAAAAUCGUAAACAAAGGCUAAUGGCAUCCGGCUGCCAACAAUGACCACCACUUGUCUUUCAUCAAUCCCUUAUAUGAUAUUCAAAUAAUCAUCGGCAUAAAGAAUUAUCCAGCAAUCAGAAAAAAAAAAAAAAAAGAAAAGAAAAGAAGAACCAACUAAAGAAAAUCCUCCAAAAGAGUUUCUAAGCAAACAAAAGGGAAAAGGAUAAGUAAGGGAACAAUAUAAUCAAAAGGAUAACACCAGUUAUGAAUUCAAUGAUUGAAACUUUACAGACUUCAAACAAAAGCUAUUCAGAAAAUCUCAGAAAACUAAAGUAGAUACCAAAAUUUUCAUCUUAGGCACAUAAAUAGUCAAAGAAAUAAUUUUAAAAUAUACAGAAUCCCAAUAAAAUUGAGCAUAACAAGAAAAUUCCAGUCAAAAUAAAUGCUAGAAAAUAUCAUUGGAGACAAACUCAUACAAGAAAAUCGUAUUGCUAACAUAUCAUCAGUCAAAGACCAAUAAAUAGCUUUUUUAGUUCUCUAAAAUAUCAACAUAUUAAGAAGAAAAAACAUAAUCCCAAUAUAAUUGAGCAAAUAAAAGAAACAAUGAGUGAAAAACAUCAAAUCUUUAUAUGAAAAUAUUAGCCUAAAAGACUAUCAAGAAAACCUGAGAACAUCAAAAAUAGCAACUUGGAGACAAACCCAAACCAAUAAAAUCAUAUUAUUGAUAUAUCAUCAGUCAAAAACACUAUUGAAGUUAGCUUUUCACAAUCUUUAUACUCAAAUCCAAUAAAAUGGAGCAUAAAUAAGAAACAAUAAGAUCAACUUUUAUAUGAAAAUAUUACCAUAAGAGCCUAUCAGAACAUAAAAAUAGUAACCUGGAGACAAACCCAUGUCAAAAAAAUCAUAUUAUUUACAUAUAAUCAGCCAAAAGACUAUUGAAAUUAACUUUUUUCAAUUCUUUACAUCAAAACCAAUAAAACUGAGCAUAUAUAAAAAACAGCAAGUGUCAAAAAAGUCUAAUUUUUAUAUGAAAAAAGUGCCAGAGAACAUAAAAAUAGCAACUUAGAGACAAACACAUAUCAAGAAAAUCAUAUUAAUAGCAUUGAAAUUAGCUUUUUACAAUGUUUACACUCAAAUCCAAUACCAUUGAACAACUAUAGAGUAAGAAAAAAUCAAAUUUUUAUAUGAAAAUAUAUAAUUAUAAGAGCCUAUCAAGAAGUCGGUGAACAUCAAAGAACUUAACUUGAAGACAAACACAUAUCUAAGAAAAUCAUAUUAUUAAUAUAUCAUCAGCCAAAAAGAUUAUUGAAAUUAACUUUAUUCAAUUCUUUACACUCAAACCCAAUAAAAUUGAGCAAAUAAAAGAAACAAUAAAAGUGAAAAAAUAUCAAAUUUUAAUAUGAAAAUAUUACAAUAGGAGCCUAUCAAGAAUAUACAAAUAGCAACCUUGAGACAACCCGUAUCAAGAAAAUCAUACUAUUAACAUAUCAUCAGUCCAAAAAACACUAUAAAAAGAUAGCUUUUUUUCAAUUUUUUUACACUAUAAUUGAGCAUAAGAUUGAUUUUUUUUUUCUCAACUGGAAAAAGCUACUGGAGACAGACAGCCCCAUAUCAAGAACAUCACAUUAUUGGCAUACCAUCAAUCUAAAAAACUACAAAAAAAAAUAUAUAUAAAAUAUCUUUUAUUUAAUUUUUUACACUAAAAUUGAGCAUAAAAUUGAUUUUUUUUCAAUUGGAAAAAGCAACAGGAAACAAACCCAUAUCAUGAAAUUCAGAUUUUUUUUACUAACCAAAAAAAAAUCGUAUCAUGAAAUAUAAUCAGUCAAAAACACUAAUAAAAUUAGCUUUUUAAUAAAUAAGAAACAAUACUAGUAAGUAAAUCAAAAUUUUAUAUGAAAUAUUACCACUUGGAGGACAAACCAUAUCAAGAAAAUCAUAUAAUUAAGAUAGAAAUAUUGCAAGAAAGUCCGUUACAAUUAUGAUAUACUAAGUCGAAAAAGGAUUAAAACUUUUGUUAUAAGUUCCUCUACCUUGUUGAAUUCUUCUCUUCUUCUUUACACAAAAGGAAAAAAAGAAAAGGGACCCUUUUUUAGAGUGUAAAUAAAUAUAUACAUAUAUAUAAUGUAAAGAUGCGAAGGAGGUGGAAAAUGAGAAAGAGAAAUUAAUUCUGAAAACAGAUAAAUACUAAAA